rnacentral:rRNA from 1 species
CCUACGGGAGGCAGCAGUGGGGAAUUUUGGACAAUGGGGGCAACCCUGAUCCAGCCAUGCCGCGUGAGUGAAGAAGGCCUUCGGGUUGUAAAGCUCUUUCGGCGGGGACGAAACGGUUCGCGCUAACACCGCGGACUAAUGACGGUACUCGCAGAAGAAGCACCGGCUAACUACGUGCCAGCAGCCGCGGUAAUACGUAGGGUGCAGGCGUUAAUCGGAAUUACUGGGCGUAAAGCGUGCGCAGGCGGCUCCUUAAGUCAGAUGUGAAAGCCCCGGGCUUAACCUGGGAACUGCGUUUGAAACUGGGGAGCUGGAGUGUAGAAGAGGGGGGUGGAAUUCCAGGUGUAGCAGUGAAAUGCGUAGAGAUCUGGAGGAACACCGAUGGCGAAGGCAGCCCCCUGGGCUAACACUGACGCUCAUGCACGAAAGCGUGGGGAGCAAACAGGAUUAGAUACCCUGGUAGUCUACGCCCUAAACGAUGUCAACUGGUUGUCGGGGAAGUAAUUCCUUGGUAACGAAGCUAACGCGUGAAGUUGACCGCCUGGGGAGUACGGCCGCAAGGCUAAAACUCAAAGGAAUUGACGG